rnacentral:rRNA from 1 species
CUUGUAGGCGGUUUGUCGCGUCUGCUGUGAAAAUCCGGGGCUCAACCCCGGACUUGCAGUGGGUACGGGCAGACUGGAGUGUGGUAGGGGAGACUGGAAUUCCUGGUGUAGCGGUGGAAUGCGCAGAUAUCAGGAGGAACACCGAUGGCGAAGGCAGGUCUCUGGGCCACUACUGACGCUGAGAAGCGAAAGCAUGGGGAGCGAACAGGAUUAGAUACCCUGGUAGUCCAUGCCGUAAACGUUGGGCGCUAGGUGUGGGGCUCAUUCCACGAGUUCUGUGCCGCAGCUAACGCAUUAAGCGCCCCGCCUGGGGAGUACGGCCGCAAGGCUAAA